rnacentral:piRNA from 1 species
GUUACUGAGUGUUCAGUUGAA